rnacentral:rRNA from 1 species
CAAUAAGCGGAGGAAAAGAAACCAACAGGGAUUGCCCCAGUAACGGCGAGUGAAGCGGCAACAGCUCAAAUUUGAAAUCUGGCCCCCCCCCGCGGGGGGCCCGAGUUGUACUUUGGAGAGGAUGCUUUGGGCGCAGCGCCGGCCGAGUGCCCUGGAACGGGCCGCCGGAGAGGGUGAGAGCCCCGUACGGCCGGACGCCUAGCCCGUGCAAAGCUCCUUCGACGAGUCGAGUAGUUUGGGAAUGCUGCUCAAAAUGGGAGGUAAAUUUCUUCUAAAGCUAAAUACCGGCCAGAGACCGAUAGCGCACAAGUAGAGUGAUCGAAAGAUGAAAAGCACUUUGAAAAGAGGGUUAAACAGCACGUGAAAUUGUUGAAAGGGAAGCGCCUGGGGCCAGACGUGCGCCCCGCGGACCACCCGGCGCCUCGCGCGCCGGGGCACGCCGCGGGUGCGCAGGCCAGCAUCGGCUCCCGCCAGGGGGACAAGGGCCGCCGGGAACGUAGCUCCUCCGGGAGCGUUAUAGCCCGCGGCGCCAUGCCCCUGGGGGGGCCGAGG